CUGUCUUAGUGGCGGACGGGUGAGUAACGCGUGGGCAACCUGCCCUGUACCGGGGGAUAACACUUAGAAAUAGGUGCUAAUACCGCAUAAUAGGGAAUACCGCAUGGUAAUCCUUUGAAAACUCCGGUGGUACAGGAUGGGCCUGCGUCUGAUUAGCCAGUUGGCGGGGUAACGGCCCACCAAAGCGACGAUCAGCAGCCGGCCUGAGAGGGUGGACGGCCACACUGGGACUGAGACACGGCCCAGACUCCUACGGAAGGCAGCAG
rnacentral:rRNA from 1 species